GAGGGUGUAGCUCAAGUGGUAGAGCACAUGCUUAGCAUGCAUGGAGUCCCGGGUUCAAUCCCCGCUGCCACCU
rnacentral:tRNA from 1 species